CUUGUUAAAUUGAAUAAUGCAUGUCGCUGUUGCAUAAUUUAUCAACCAUGGAAUGUUUUCCCAAAUAAAUGUUUAAUGUCUACAUAAAUCAGCUACUCUCUAUCACCCUGAAGAUGUGAUGUCACCUGUAACCUCUACGACAGCUUGGUCACCUUCAAUUAGACUGUUUGGUAACACAAAAGUUCAGAGAGCUGCUUCCAGAGGAGCCGGACUCAUCUGCUCCCACCAGAACUACCGGCACGGUUGCUCUCAUCUGAGAGAUAAAAUAGGUUCCUAAAAUAGGAUGACAAAAUGGCACCUUCGGUAUCCAUGGUUACCUGGUUGCAGGGAGAGCCAGGCGCCACAGUAGACAAGCCUCGACAUCGCAGCUUCUGAUUGGACGGCUGUAUCACCACAGUCGUGGCUCAGACAUCUGACUGACACCAAAGAUUUUGUUUUUUAAUUAUAUUUCAUAUUUUAAUCAUCUUGUUUGUUUACCUCCCUGUGAUGAGAGCCUUGCCGUCCAGGGGCUGGUCAUUUACUUUUACAUUUAUCAGACGCUCUUAUCCAGAGCGACUUACAGUAAGUACAGGGACAUUCUCCCCGAGGCAAGU